GAUGAACGCUGGCGGCGCGCCUAACACAUGCAAGUCGAACGAUUAAAGCACCUUCGGGUGUGUAUAAAGUGGCGAGCGGCUGAGUAACACGUGGGCAACCUGCCCCUUUCAUUGGGAUAGCCACGGGAAACCGUGGAUAAUACCGAAUACUUCGAGACUUCCGCAUGGAAGACUCGAGAAAGCUCCGGCGGAGAGGGAUGGGCCCGCGGCCUGUUAGCUUGUUGGUGGGGUAACGGCCUACCAAGGCAAUGAUGGGUAGCUGGGUUGAGAGACCGACCAGCCAGAUUGGGACUGAGACACGGCCCAGACUCCUACGGGAGGCAGCAGUGGGGAAUCUUGCACAAUGGGCGAAAGCCUGAUGCAGCGACGCCGCGUGCGGGAUGAAGGCCUUCGGGUUGUAAACCGCUUUCAGCAGGGACGAGGCGAAAGUGACGGUACCUGCAGAAGAAGCCCCGGCUAACUACGUG
rnacentral:rRNA from 1 species